rnacentral:rRNA from 1 species
CGCCUGUUUAACAAAAACAUGUCUUCUUGUUAUUUAUAGGAAGUCUGACCUACCCAGUGAAUAAUUUUUAACGGCCGCGGUAUUUUGACCGUGCAAAGGUAGCAUAAUCAUUAGUCUUUUAAUAGAAGGCUGGCAUGAAUGGUUUGACGAGGUGCUGACUGUCUCACUUGAUUUUUUAUUAUAAUUUAACUUUUUAGUCAAAAGGCUAAAAUAUAUUUGGAAGACGAGAAGACCCUAUAGAGCUUUAUAAUAUUUUGAUUAAUCAUAUUUAGUUUAAUUUUUUUGGUUAUUUAUCUUAUUAUUUUGUUGGGGUGACAAAAAUAUAUAAUUAACUUUUUUAUUUAUUUUACAUUAAUUUAUGAACAACCGGAUCCAUUCUUAGUGAUUAUUAGACUAAGUUACCUUAGGGAUAACAGCG